UGGCGGACGGGUGAGGAAUACAUCGGAAUCUACUCUGUCGUGGGGGAUAACGUAGGGAAACUUACGCUAAUACCGCAUACGACCUACGGGUGAAAGCAGGGGAUCUUCGGACCUUGCGCGAUUGAAUGAGCCGAUGUCGGAUUAGCUAGUUGGCGGGGUAAAGGCCCACCAAGGCGACGAUCCGUAGCUGGUCUGAGAGGAUGAUCAGCCACACUGGAACUGAGACACGGUCCAGACUCCUACGGGAGGCAGCAGGU
rnacentral:rRNA from 1 species